rnacentral:rRNA from 1 species
GACGUAGGAUGCAAGCGUUGUCCGGAUUCAUUGGGCGUAAAGCGUUCGUAGGCGGCAUAUUAAGUCUGGUGUUAAAGCCCGGGGCUCAACCCCGGAUCGGCACUGGAUACUGGUAAGCUUGAGUGCAGUAGAGGCAAGGGGAAUUCCCAGUGUAGCGGUGAAAUGCGUAGAUAUUGGGAGGAACACCAGUGGCGUAAGCGCCUUGCUGGGCUGUAACUGACGCUGAGGAACGAAAGCCAGGGGAGCAAAUGGG